UACGUAGGGUGCGAGCGUUAAUCGGAAUUACUGGGCGUAAAGCGUGCGCAGGCGGUUUUGUAAGCCAGAUGUGAAAUCCCCGGGCUUAACCUGGGAAUGGCAUUUGGGACUGCAAGGCUCGAGUGCGGCAGAGGAGACUGGAAUUCCUGGUGUAGCAGUGAAAUGCGCAGAUAUCAGGAAGAACACCAAUGGCGAAAGCAGCUCUCUGGGACGGUACUGACGCUGAGACGCGAAAGCGUGGGGAGCGAACAGG
rnacentral:rRNA from 1 species